UUUUAAAAAAAAGUUUGGAAGAGAAUUACUUAUAAUAGUGAAAGUGGAAUGAUUCGUACCUUUUCUUGAGAACUGGGCAAUAAAAUAUUAAGAGUUAGAAGAGAUCUUAGAAAUCACUAUGAUUAAUUUUUUUAAUCUUAUACAUCUAAAAAACACUUAUUUUCAAAUAAAACCUUAAAAACAGGAGCAUGUAGGUAAAUAGAAUUUUUUCCAGAUGAAUUUGGUCGAAAGACUAUUAUCUGUGUAAGAAUAUUCAUCACUCCUCCAAGUCAUUACUGUGUGAGAUAUUAAAACCCUGGGUACUUCAAAGUAUACUUUGAAAACCUCCAAUCUGUUGUGCCACAGAUGUUAAAUUGAUUAGAUUGUUGGACUGUAGAUCUAGAGAGUAUCCCUCAGUUCUACAUUGCCUCUUCAAAUGUACAUUAGAUUCAAGAUCAUAUAUUUCAUACCUCCUUCAGCACCGUCUCCACCUUUUAGUUUUAUUAUAAUAAGUCAUUUCUGGACAUCUCAGAGAAUGUAUUACUUAUGUAUUUAUGGCUAAUGAGAUAUAAGCUAUGGGUGUUUACACUGAAGACGAUGAUGACUUGAUGAUGAUGACAGUUUUGUUUCUCAUGAAUAGUUAAGUAGUAGAGUGUUGACUCAGACUCUUGGCCAGUGAGUAUCUGACCACCUCUCACAGUAACCCCUUUAGAAGAGCCCUCCUCAGUUACUUAGCUAGUAAGACAUGACUCUUCUCUCUACCACUGUUUCUACUCUGGUGUGCAGUUAUUAUUCUUGGCUAAAAAGGGAGAGCAAGUGAUAGUCUGGGGAUGUCAGAUAAAUGGGCACUUUGUAGUCACAUUGAACUUUCCUUUUAAUAUUUGGCAGUGUUCACUUGACCAUAUCUUCAGAAAAAAAAAAAAGGAAAAUGUCCAUAAAUCAAUUACAGAUCAGUGGAGAUCCUUCGCCAUCAGGAAUAGGAAGCCUCCAAAGAUGCAGUGAGGUUAGCCAGUGAUUCUGAGGACAAUACCUGGAAAUAACUCUUGCUGAGGCAUAUUUCAAGUUCAGUAGAUACAGAGAGGAAAAAAGAGUGUAAUGGUUUGAUUUGCUAUUGAGAAUUUCUAUUCAAAAGUACUGCACUCCAAAGACCUGAAGUAACACAGAUUAAAUUAGUUCUACUGUCAUGAAGAACUUGUUCUUUAAUUGAACAGCAUGUUUGUUCUCACUCCUGAGAAUGGGAAACACAGAGACAUACAAAGGAAUAUAUGAUCCUUUUCUUUUCUGUUUGGUUGUCUUGUAUUCAAAACAAGUUAGGCUCUGUUAAGCAUGUAUACAUAAAGAAUUCGGACCACAUUUACUGUACUUCUCAAAUGUUUUUCACUAAGUCAGUCAUAUAGUCAGGGAAUAGGAUUUAGGAAAUGCCCAGCAUCACUCUUGGCUUGACAAUGUCGCUUGCAUUGUUACUGUUUUAAGAAAUAAUACCAGCUACAACCAACUCUAGAUAAGAUGAAGAUAACAAAGACCUAGAGAACUUGAGAAAUUCAAGGGAUGAAGCAAUGUACCAGCAGAACUUUAAUUCCAAGUCUUGGCAGAUGAGAGAGCCUGAGUAUCAAUUUGCCUGAAGAAAAUAUGUAUAAGGAGCAUUUGACUCUGACAUCACAAUUUAUGAUCCUGUUCCUUAUAACCUGUUCAUUUUAACCCAGCCUCAGUUUCUUCUUUGGUGAAACAUGGGCUAAGUACUCCUACCUAAAUGUGGUGGAUUUAGUUGAACCAUUAUUUUCAGGAAAAGAUAUAACCAGAUCAAGUAAGUAUCUACUCCAGUAAGACUAAAACAUUGUCGUUUCCACAGAAGAAGUGCUCCAAUAUAGCAAACCUGCCACCAGGUUGCUGGCUGGUCACUUCAGGGACUGAUGCUAUAUCUGAGUGUCAUUUGGAUCUCUGCUAUUGACAGAGCUGGCAUUCAGCAGCAGCUAUAGCUAGAUCAGCCUUGGUGAGUGGAAGCCCAUGUUGUUGAGCCCAUGCAUAACCCCCACCUCUGCCACCAUGACCAGGGCAACAUUUAUUUUAUAUAAAAAGAAAACAUUUAAUUGGGGCUGGCUUACAGUUUCAGAGGUUCUGUCCAUUAUCAUCUUGGUGGGAAGCAUGGCAGCAUGCAUAUAGACAUGUUGCUGGAGUUGCCGAGAGUUCUACAUCUGAAGGCAGCCAGGAGAGGCCUUUUCUACACUGGGUGGAGCUUGAGCACUAGGAUACCUCAAAGCCCACCUACAUAGUGGCAUACUUCCUCCUACAAGGCCACACCUAUUUUACCAAGGCCACACCUCCUAAUAAUGCCAUUUCCACUUCCCACAAACCAAACAUAUUGAAGCCACCACACUGAAACUCCUAUAGAUGCUGAAAAUCCAAUGGGUUGUGUUGGAGAUUGAUAGUAGAUUUAUUUUCCUGUUUUAGAUGUACCAUGAAAAAUCUUAAUUCCUAGACAGAUGUAGACCUUUCCUCUUUAAGAAAACACUUUAUUGGAUAUUUUACCAGAAAAGUAACAUCAAUAUCAGAAAAUUCUAGUCCUUGUAACUUUGAACUUAAAGACUACCUAGAACUUCACUAAAUAAAUAGAAAAAGGUGAGGCAGUCCCCUUGAGAUUUUGAAAUUCAAGAGUAGAAUAAAGGGGUGUUUUGUGUUUGACUAGAACAAGGAAACAGAUCUUAAGACCUUAUUGUUCAUUUAUUGUUAAUAAUGAGUUCUUAAGAUGCCAUUAAAAGAAAGG
rnacentral:lncRNA from 1 species